UUUUUGGACAUUCAAAAUGCAACUGCCACAUAUACUUCCAAGUGAUUUAAUAGGCUUUCAAUGGUACUACGGAUCCUGCAUGAUUUACCUGGAGAAGACAGUUGGAGAACUUCCAGUUCCUUCAGAUUCACACCUUCGGACAAGAGGGUGGCAAACUCUAUAUUGAGUUAGGAGCACAUAAGCUCCCAACUCAGAGCUUGAGAUGUAGACUUCUGCAGGACUUCCCAAUUGCAACAUCCUGGAACAGUGCCCACCUGGCCUCGAGUGCAUUCUUGACUUCCCUCUGCUGGAGCAGCUGGUGCCUUUUGGGUCCUCACAAGGAUAUUGACCAACCACCUUUCCAUGUGGAGAGGAAAGACAAGGGAACAGGUCAACAGCUCACAUCUUAUUGCAAUAAGCAGAGCGGCUCCUUCCUGGGUGUAGUCCUGACCUCCCGGCAAGCCCUCAGAGGCUGAUCCUGAAGACACGCUGGCACCUCUACACUCCUUUAAGAG
rnacentral:lncRNA from 1 species